AUCGCUUGUGUAAGCCACUCCAGUCUGUUUCUCGGUGCCUUGCUGUCUUCUAGGAAUUCACACAAUAAACAGGUUUUGGAGGAAGGCCAGCACGUUCUCAGACUUCCUUCUCUCUGGUUGUUAUUCAGAAUUCAGGAGCUGAGUGUACAGGGGCAUGCUUUCAGUCAAGCCUAGGCCCAUUGUCCUGACAGCCAUUGGACCUCAAACUCCUAAUGGAUGGAAGGGCCAGCAGAGGAGAACAAGGAAUCCAGAGGCUGCUGGCUGGGUCUGUGCACAGGGACUUGUGUAUCUGGACUGGGGGAGACUAGAGUCUUCCAAUGACUUCAGGAUGCUGUCUGAAAAUCAGAAAAGUGAUUAUUCAGCUUGUUUGGGGAAGCCAAACAGAGGCCAAGCUCAAUUUCACCAUUCAAAUAAACAGCCUACCUACUGGACUUUGAAUCCAGCUGGAAACAGACCAGGUAGCUAUGUAUUUUCUCAUGUUUGCAAGAGAGGAAGUGGCUGGCCUUGCCAUUCAUCCUUUAAGGUUGGUUCAGAGCCAGGAAGUCAAAGUACCAGGGCAAAUUUAUAUUACACAUUACGUACAUAUCUCGAAAAAGCAAAUAUCAGGAGACCCAGGUUGUGACCCAAACAGCCAUCCAAAGCAGAGCCCUGAAAAAUGCCUCACAGUUUGGUUUUCUUCCAAUAAAACAACACGUUAAGUUGGGCCAUUAACUCAAAUGAAAGGUUUCAGAUUUAUUUUCAUUGGCAGAUGGAAAUUAAGUUGCAGAGAUACAACCAGUACAGUCUAGAGUAUAUUUAAUUUCAUUUAUUUUUAAUUACACAAGUAAUGCAUGAAUAUAGUGUCAGUAUAAAAACCCAACACAGAUAAAGUUCAAGUCCCUCUUAACCAGUCACUACUUCACUCAUUUCCCCUCCCUGCUGAUGUCAAUUUGAUCUCUCUCUCUCUCUCUCUCUCUCUCACACACACACACACACACACACAUACACACACACACAAAUACACAAACACACACCCCAAAAUAGAACCAGAUAUCCCAAAAUAAUAGAUGUUCUAAACCAAAGUAAGAUACAAGAUCAUCAUGGAAGAUGUCAGGGAAGUCAUCAAAAAAUUCAGGACUUUUAAUUCUUCAAGAAUUUUAAGAGCCUGAAAGGACCCUGAGAAGGACAUUAGGUGGGGAGAAAGAUUUUGAUGAAAGCAGUUGGUCCUCUACCUCCAUGGAGCCAGGGAGAGGUGACAAUGUUUUUUUCAUAUCAAACAUGGAAAAUCUUCCGUGGGGAUUUUUUUGAGACCUUGGUAUACAACCCCGACGUGAUUAUACUUAGUCAUCUUUUUCAUUAUGGCUUUCCCAACUCCCCAGGUUAGACGUAUGUUCCAUUUUUCUUCUAGUAAUUUUAUGAUGAUUAUUUAGUAUUUGAUUUGUGUACAAUUUUGUUUUCACAGAUUGAUAUAACUACUUUCCCCAAAUGAACCACAGAUUCUUUUAACACCAUCCAUGGAGUAUUAUUUCAUGACACUGGUUGAAAGGGCACUUUUGUUGUAUACUAAAGCUCCAAAUAGUCAUGGUGUCUUCCGAAUUGAUCCACUGUCUACUCCUUUACAGGUACAUUCAUUAGGAUUCAACUGUGCUCCCUUUGAAGUUGAGAACAUCACAAAAAUAAUCCUCUAUUACCAAAUGUUUUCCAGACCCUUGACCAUGGUAGCACCAGGAACCUGACUCAGUCCCCACUCACCAAGCCAGGCCCCCGUCCGCAGACACCUCUGCUCAGAAUUCUCAUCCUCUCUAUGGAACACUUACCCUCCGCUUCUGAAGGGCUUCUUGGGUAACAAAGACAUUUUCCACCUCCCACUCCUGCUUCAGCAUCCCUAGAGGAGGCUGUGGGGUGGGUCUGUGAAGCUAACACAGGCACCACUCCUCCACCCACCCUGGCCCUCGAUUGCAUGUGGCUGUGACCCUGGCCUCCUUGCUGAAAGUCCUCUGGGAAGCUCAGUGAUUUAGUGUUUUCUAUUUUUUCCCUGCUCAUUUUUUCUGGCACUGUUUUCCUUGGAAUCAGACAUAAGGUGAUGAGAC